CCUCCCCCACCCACCUCUAUGUAAAGUUCUCAAUUCUCAGUAUCUCACAUCAGCAAUUACCAUCUGCUAGCCCAAAGAGGAGAUAAUUUUCUUCUAAGACUUUCUGGAUAUUCACUAAAGACAACAGAAGAUUCUCAGCAUGGGAAUGAGUCUGGACUUGCUUGUUGAGAGGUAAGAAGAUACAGGGAAGCAGAAACCAGAACAUGAAGGAAAACCCUAACAAGUUCAGCAAAGCUGCCUAUCCAACUCACACCUGACCUCAGAAAUGGCUUGGACACAAGUGCACACCCGCCUCCGAAACAGCAAGACCUGCAGCUUCAUCCUUUCUGGCAGGUUGAUGCUCUGGGCCAGAUGGAGACCGUGGCUGUGGACCCCCAGCCCUUCCCAUCCAGCUCCAGAAGUCAAGGCUCUAAUUCACUCUGAAAGGGCUUCAGCACCACCCCUGUGAGGUCCUUAAAUGUUUUAUGAGCUCCCUGAAAUGCUCAGAUAAUUAAAAACACUUUCUUAAUUUAA